ACUUGACUUUUUCUUAACAUUAAAACGAAAAAAAUUAUUAGACUAAGAGGUAGUUAUAGUCUUAACUAGGGAUUGUAAGUCCCUCUCUCUGUGUGUGAAGAUAUGAUCAUGAAUGAAUAUGUAUAUGCUCAGUUUAACUGUAAAUGUUGAUGAAAAGAUGAAGUUUUGAACUUGAGGUGGUUGAUUAAAAAUCAAGAGUCUGUUGCACAUGGAUCACCCCGUUUCGGCUUUUUUUUUUUAAUCCCUAUCGGAUCUUUGAUCAGGUAAACGAUCCACACCUUCACUUUCAGUUCUAUUAGUCUUGCCUACUUGAACAAUCUUGAUAGAUAUUCAUUGAUGAAAGCUAUUAAAUUUGUGUUGUAAUUUGUAAAUCAAAGAAACAAGUCACUGGUAUCUCUCAUCUGGAUCAUGCUUGUUUCUGGGUUCUUCUAAAGGUUUUUGAUCCAACUUGUCAUCAGUCUACACCAUAACAGCAAGCGCGUUCAAGGUGCUCAUCUUAUUCCUGAGUUUUAAUGUUUGUUGAUGCGAAAAAGUGGUUCGGCACGUGCCUUAUGCAUCCAUUUAAACUCCUGAGGUCGAGGACCAGCUACUAGACGUGGGAGUUCGUCAUCAUACUCUGGAUCACCUAGUCCACGGAAGGUACCCCGAAAGAUAUCUCGUAGUCCAAGAAGAUAUUUGAGGAGAAGAAGCAGUUGCAAGAGCAGCAGCAGCAGUUCACCUCCUCAUAAGCCAUAGAUCUUACAAUUUUACCGGCACCUACCAACUCAAGUCCUUCGUUUCAAUGAUAAUUUAAUAUGUGAAGCCUUCAUUGGUGUUAUGUUUUAAUUUUUGGCUUAUGUUUCAAAUUUCUAAUUUAGUUUGUAAUUUAAUUAUCAAUUUUUACAUUGAGAUAUAAUUCUUAAGAUUGUAUGUUUGCAUUGGAUGACCA